UACGUAGGGGGCAAGCGUUGUCCGGAAUCAUUGGGCGUAAAGCGCGUGUAGGCGGUUGCGCAAGUUGUGUGUGAAAUCUCCCGGCUCAACCGGGAAACUGCACGCAAUACUGCGUGGCUAGAGUGGCAGAGAGGAGAGUGGAAUUCCUGGUGUAGCGGUGAAAUGCGCAGAUAUCAGGAAGAACACCCGUGGCUAAGGCGGCUCUCUAGUACGGUA
rnacentral:rRNA from 1 species